rnacentral:rRNA from 1 species
GGAUUGAACGCUGGCGGCAUGCCUAACACAUGCAAGUCGAACGGGAGUAGCAAUACUCUAGUGGCGGACGGGUGAGGAAUACGUAGGAAUUUGCCCUUAAGUGGGGGAUAACCCGGGGAAACCCGGAUUAAUACCGCAUGACCUCGAAAGAGCAAAGUGGGGGAUCGCAAGACCUCACGCUUUUGGAGAAGCCUACGUCGGAUUAGCUAGUUGGUGAGGUAAUGGCUCACCAAGGCGACGAUCCGUAACUGGUCUGAGAGGAUGAUCAGUCACACCGGAACUGAGACACGGUCCGGACUCCUACGGGAGCAGCAGUGGAGUAAUAGUUCGGAACAAGU